rnacentral:tRNA from 1 species
GGUUCUAUGGUGUAAUGGUUAGCACGCUGGACUCUGAAUCCAGCAAUCUGAGUUCAAAUCUCGGUAGGACAU